rnacentral:rRNA from 1 species
UACGGAGGGUGCGAGCGUUGUCCGGAAUCACUGGGCGUAAAGGGCGCGUAGGCGGUGCGAGAAGCGUGUGGUGAAAGGCCGGGGCUCAACUCCGGCUCGGCCGUGCGGACUCUCGCGCUUUGUGAGUGCUGUAGAGGCGGGCGGAAUUCCGGGUGUAGCGGUGAAAUGCGUAGAUAUCGGGAGGAACACCUGUGGCGAAGGCGGCCCCCUGGUUGGAUACUGACGCUGAUACGCGAAAGCGUGGGGAGCAAACAGG